rnacentral:misc_RNA from 1 species
GUAGGUGAACCUGCGGAAGGAUCAUUAAUAGUUGUGUCCUGUCGAAAGGCUAGGAUCGUGACCACGUGUUUAACCACCCUCAAGUUCGGGGGAGGGGUUAUCCGGCCUCUGAAAGGACGCUGGCUGACUCUCGCGGUGCCUGCAGUAAUGCGGCUUCAGGUUUAUAACUAACACCCGUGUAUACUUUCUUUGUUGCUUUGGCGGGCCGCCUCGCGGCGUCGGCUCCGGCUGACCGUGCCCGCCAGAGGAC